CGCGGGCUUAGGCCUUUUCCCCGAUGAGCAGUGUUUUGUAUGCGAUGUCGCAUGUCUGGACUUGUUCAGUAGUGUUGCAAUUUUUACUCUUCGCUAAUAUCUUGUUGUUGUCGUCUUGUGUUAGACGUUGAGCUUCGUAGCGACGUGCGGUAACGCUACGAUUAUUCCUGAGCGCACCGUGUGUUUAAUGCGUUGUACUCUGUGCGUGCGUGCGUGUGCUUUUUUUCUCCUGAUUUGUGACGUCCUCGUGGCAUGUCUGGACUUGUUUAGCAGUGUUGCAAUUCUUCCCGCUGCUAGUAUGUUGUUGGUGUCAUGUUGUGCUAGCCGCGUGGCGAUGUGAGGUGACCUGAGGUCUUAAGCCUUUUCCCUGCUCACCUAAGGAAAUUUGUGUAUCCCUGUCCUGUGCUUUCUUUACGCAAGGGUAAUGCGGCUGUGUAUGUGGUAUUAUGCAAGAAUUAUCUGGUGGCAGAAAUGGGUGUCUUUUUCUCAGUUUAUUGGCGUGCGCUACGGUUUCUUGCAGUUACAGCUAUUGGAGCACAAAUGCGUGUAAUUUUUCGCGGUUCUUUUCUCCUUUCACUGCUUGUACUCAGAAUGUAGAUGAGGGGAAACAGUCAGCAUCCAGGUAGAGCAGGAGAAAGCCGCUCGGCAGAGGAGAGAGUUCAUGAGAAUGGAAUUUGUUUGUUUUUUGUUAUAUGUUGAGUGUUAGUAUUCGCUUUCCUCGAUAUGUUGAGGAAGUCAGCCGUUAUAGGUAUUUGUGCAGAAAUGCUGGUAUCUGAGUGUGUGGAGUAGAAAUUCCUAUAAAGCACCUCUCCUUGUGCAUUCCUAAGCUGCUGUGUGCGCGCGCGUGCUUCUUUUUCCUGGUUUGCGACGUCAUGAUGGCAUGUUGGGGCUUGUUUAGCAGUGUUGCAAUUUUACCCGCCGCUAUUAUCUUGUUAUCUUGUGUUAGCCGCGUAGCGAUGUCCAGUGACUCUGCUAUUAUUCCUGAGGUCUUAAGCCUUUUCCCUGCUCACCUAAGGAAAUUUGUGUAUCACUGUCCUGUGCUUUCUUUGCGACAAUGCGUCUGUGUAUGUGGCACUAUCAGAUACCAGACAUGAGUGUCUUUUUCUUGGUUUAUUGGCAUAUGCUUCAGGUUUUUUUAAGUCAAGCACAAGUGCGCGCAAUUUUUCGCUGCUCUCUUCCUCAAAUCACCGAUUUUACGCAGAAGAAAGUCGCAUGGUGCAGCUGAGAAGUGGGUUUCUCUGAUUGUUUGAUAGAUGUUGUUAGGAGCUGGGUAUGUUGAGGAAGUCAGCUGUAUCCGUGAAUAAAUGCUUGCAUCUGAACGCAGGAUAGGAAUUCCUGAAGCACGGCACCCUCAGUGUAAAUUAAUUAUUUUGGAUAUGAGUCGGCUUCACUGCAUGACAAGGCUGAAAUGGGAAGAGAGAAAAAAUUGGAGCGCUUCAUUAGUAGCGAUCCAAGUAAUAGGGCAAUUAUAGUUUCCAUAGAAAGUUGAAUUUUAAUGGGCUCCUAAAAUUAUAGUUUAGUUGUAGUUUUUCUAAACUGCAAUGCAAUAAUCAUUAAUAUAGUAUAGGAAUGCCAUCGUGUUCCCGUAAAGGCGUUCUGUCUUGUGCUUUCCCGCCUUUAUGCUCGCAAUGCGCGAAUGGAACUUUGCCCACCCGGCUUCCGCGCGUUUUUGCUCGCAGGUGUAGCCUCAGACAACGAAUGUAUGAGCAUAGAAAGGGUCAUGUAUUACAUAAGCCUGGAGGUGACGUUGAGUGGUCUCACUUAUUAUUUUAAGGAGCAGUGGUAGUUUACUGUAAUUCUAAUGACCAUGAUGAGCCUUUGGGGUGAAAAUCGUUAAUAUGCGGGGUGCUUUUUUGUUGAAUUUUAAUGAGAGAAUCAAUGUCAUUAAGAGUAGGACAAAGGAAAUAAUCUUGCGAUUCAAUAAAUAAUAGGAGUCUUUGCCGGUGUCUUCUUCAGACAGGAUGUGAUGACGUCACGCAGUCUGUAGCAAUGCGUUGACCGUUACUUGAAAAAAGUGUAGCAACAGAAAAAUAGUGUGUAUUGUCCUGGGCAGAUCUAUGAUGAGCACUGUUUUUGAAUAAGAGGAGUGCGUGUGCUUAGAAAUAGUUUGAUGCUGGUUUCCUUCUUUGUUUCUUUUCGCUUUUUCCCCCCUUGUCUGACAAACAUGUGCUGACCAUGCCUGGGCUUGUUCUGACAUGCUUUCCUUCUGCAUGUAGUUUUUUUUCUUUUUGUACAAGGCAUAUUCUUGACGAUAGUGCUGCCUUGAAUGGGAGUAGAGCUGUUCUUAAUAAUUUUGCGAUUCAUUUAGUUCAGAGAGUAACCGCGAGGGGGACAGGUGUGUGACUUUAUGUCUUGCUGAACCUUUUUUUUUUCCUGUACAGUAAGACUUUGGGAAUGAAAUGCUACAAUCUCCUCUUGUCUAUGGUGUUUUUCUGCAAUAGUUCCCUACGCAAUCAUUAUAGUAGAAUAAAGGAAAUAAUCUAGGGAUAGUGAUUCAAUAAAUAACAGGUGCCCUGUCUAGAGCGUACGCGUCCUUGAGCCACGCACCUGCAUGAUGACCGCAUACCGAGAGACUAUUGUUUCAGGUUGACCUUGUCUAGAGGAGCAUUAGUGGAAAAAAACAGGGUAGCCCUGAGACAAUAGGAUGCCGUCACGACCAAUGAGACUGGCCUGCAGGGGGCGCAAGGAUUCACUUCUCUCUUGGACACUGGCGGGUGUAGACACGGUAAUUAUGAUCCUGGCGUUGGCCGUCAGUGGAAGAGCGUAGCUUAGGUGGGGUUCUGUCUGCCUCUGAUGGGGUGUGGAUGUAUGGUUCGUCACUGGUGAAUGGUGUUCGACGAUGCAGGUGGAUUUUGUGACGAGCGGAUUUACAAUGAGGGAAUGCUGUGAACGGGAAAAAUGAUGGUGAGUGCCUUUUUCACUCUGUUCAAGUGUUCGUUUUCCUCUGUUGCCCAACAGUCGUGCGAAUUUGUCCUGACAUGCCCCGAUAUGCAUGCUUUCCUUUGUUAACGCUUUGUAUUUUGUCUUUUUUUUUGGACAAGGAACAUUGUCGUCUUGACGAUAGUGCUGCCCUGAGUUCUGCGUGCGUUGAUUUGUUGAGUGCCUAGUCCUCUUAUUUGUCGUUGAUGGAGUUACGUGUUAGGAUAUUUUGGUCUUUUGCAAGUCUCAUUUAGUAAGACUUUGGAAUUCCCACGAUCAGCUUUCAUGCAUGGUGCUCUUCUGCAAUAGUUUCCUAUUCAAUCGUUAUAGAAGAAUAAAGGAAAUAAUCAUGGGAUAGUGAUUCAAUAAAUAAUAGGUCCCCUGUCUAGAGCGCACGCGUCCUUGAGCCACGCAGGUGCAUGAUGACGUCAUACCGUGGCUUCAUUGUAGAUUGAGCAAAGGAGCAUUAGUGGAAAAAAAACAGUGUAGCCCUGAGACAAUAGGAUGAUGUCUGGACUGCCAGCAGGGGGCGCAGGAAUGCUCUUCUCACUUAGCCUCACGACCAAUGAGAAUGGCCAGCAGGGGGCGCAGGAAUGCUCUUCUCACUUAGCCUCUCGCAGGUGACGGUAGGAGCGCGCAGAGGGCGCUACGAGCGCGCGCAUGCGUAGCACCCGUAGAGUGGCGCUUACGUCAGUCCACCUCUGGCUCUCGUUGGGAGAAGACGUGCGGUCGUUCGCUCCGUCGUCACUUGAUCCCUGGCUGUCGACGAGAGCAGUCGCAUCGGUCUGCGCUCCUACUGUGAGCUGUCCUAACUUGCCCAGACAUGCCGUGAUGACGUCACAGCUGACGUCACAGGAUGUCCGGAACUGGUGCUGCGAUGCUUUGCAACCUGCCUCUGUGCUCCGUCGCUCAGCGACGGUCAGCGGCCUUUCCGGACCGCUUUCUUCAAGAUGGCGCCGUUGAUCUUCAAUUAAAAUCCUUCUCUCCACUCUA